rnacentral:rRNA from 1 species
CACUCUAGAGAGACUGCCAGGGAUAACCUGGAGGAAGGUGGGGAUGACGUCAAAUCAUCAUGCCCCUUAUGCUUAGGGCUACACACGUGCUACAAUGGGUAGUACAGAGGGUUGCCAAGCCGUAAGGCGGAGCUAAUCCCUUAAAGCUACUCCCAGUUCGGAUUGUAGGCUGAAACUCGCCUACAUGAAGCUGGAGUUACUAGUAAUCGCAGAUCAGAAUGCUGCGGGGCAUGCGUUCCCGGGUCUUGGACACACCGCCCGUCACACCACGGGAGUUGGAGACGCCCGAAGCCGAUUAUCUAACCUUUUGGAAGAAGUCGUCGAAGGUGGAAUCAAUAACUGGGGUGAAGUCGUAACAAGGUAGCCGUAUCGGAAGGUGCGGCUGGAUCACCUCCUUUCUAAGGAGA